rnacentral:tRNA from 1 species
GCGGGUAUGGCGGAAUUGGCAGACGCGCUAGUCUUAGGAACUAGUGCCUUCGGCAUGCAGGUUCAAGUCCUGUUACCCGCA